rnacentral:rRNA from 1 species
GGAUCAUUACAGAGUUAUCCAACUCCCAAACCCAUGUGAACUUAUCUCUUUGUUGCCUCGGCGCAAGCUACCCGGGACCUCGCGCCCCGGGCGGCCCGCCGGCGGACAAACCAAAACUCUUGUUAUCUUAGUUGAUUAUCUGAGUGUCUUAUUUAAUAAGUCAAAACUUUCAACAACGGAUCUCUUGGUUCUGGCAUCGAUGAAGAACGCAGCGAAAUGCGAUAAGUAAUGUGAAUUGCAGAAUUCAGUGAAUCAUCGAAUCUUUGAACGCACAUUGCGCCCAUUAGUAUUCUAGUGGGCAUGCCUGUUCGAGCGUCAUUUCAACCCCUAAGCACAGCUUAUUGUUGGGAACCUACGGCUUCGUAGUUCCUCAAAGACAUUGGCGGAGUGGCAGUGGUCCUCUGAGCGUAGUAAUCUUUUAUCUCGCUUCUGUUAGGUGCUGCCCCCCCGGCCGUAAAACCCCCAAUUUUUUCUGGUUGACCUCGGAUCAGGUAGGAAUACCCGCUGAACUUAAGCAUAUCAAUAAGCGGAGGAAAAGAAACCAACAGGGAUUCCCCUAGUAACGGCGAGUGAAGCGGGAACAGCUCAAAUUUGAAAUCUGGCCCUCGGGUCCGAGUUGUAAUUUGUAGAGGAUGCUUUUGGUGCGGUGCCUUCCGAGUUCCCUGGAACGGGACGCCUUAGAGGGUGAGAGCCCCGUACGGUUGGACGCCUAGCCUCUGUAAAGCUCCUUCGACGAGUCGAGUAGUUUGGGAAUGCUGCUCUAAAUGGGAGGUAUAUUUCUUCUAAAGCUAAAUACUGGCCAGAGACCGAUAGCGCACAAGUAGAGUGAUCGAAAGAUGAAAAGCACUUUGAAAAGAGGGUUAAAUAGCACGUGAAAUUGUUGAAAGGGAAGCGUUUAUCACCAGACUUUUUCUAGGGGGAUCAUCCGGUGUUCUCACCGGUGCACUUCCCCUGGUUGAGGCCAGCAUCGGUUUUCGGAGGGGGAUAAAAGCUUCGGGAAUGUGACUCCCUCGGGAGUGUUAUAGCCCGUUGCAUAAUACCCUUCUGGGGACCGAGGU